rnacentral:rRNA from 1 species
UACGGAGGAUCCGAGCGUUAUCCGGAUUUAUUGGGUUUAAAGGGUGCGCAGGCGGGAGAUUAAGUCGGCGGUGAAAUUUUGCAGCUCAACUGUAAAAGUGCCUUCGAAACUGGUUUCCUUGAGUGUAGAUGAAGUAGGCGGAAUUUGUGGUGUAGCGGUGAAAUGCAUAGAUACCACGAGGAACUCCGAUUGCGCAGGCAGCUUACUAAACUACUACUGACGCUCAGGCACGAAGGCGUGGGGAUCAAACAGGAUUAGAUACCCGUGUAGU